rnacentral:misc_RNA from 1 species
AUCCUCUAACGUAAUAGUAGCUUCGGCUCAGGGAAAAUAAACGUGUUGUUGUUAGAACUCAGAAUUGCUUCACAGAUACCCACCUUUUCUCAUGCGGAAUGGUGUGUUGAAUGCAUGUGAACCCAUUUGUUUCAUUAGUUGUGAUGGUUUCUCCGCGCUCCGAAAGUAACCUUCAAUGGACACUUUCUAGGCUCACAGGUUGAUGCUCGUGGUAAAGACGAAGAAAGUCAAUGGAAGCUAUGAUAGGUUUAAGGAAGUGGGCUGUUCUCAGAAUUGGCUUA